GCAUGUGAAGGCAAUCUGACUGAAACAUCUGUCAACUCACUGAUCAUCAGGGUUGAUUUGGCGGAUCGCUGGCUAGACAGAGAUCUCAUCCCUUUUUCAGUGCUUCACAUGCUUUCUUCCUGAAGCUGAGCACUUCGUUGAUGAGGAUGAUAUUCCCCAAUAAAGGAGGAUCAUUCUUCAAUCAAGGGUAUACAAGUAGCUGGACUUCCCUGCUGGAACCUCCAAACAUGAUCUCAAGAAGUAGCAAGAUUAUUUUCUUCCCGAUCUUAUAGAAUAGAUCAUGCACAAAAAGGAAUCAAUAAGCAAACAGUGGACUU
rnacentral:snRNA from 1 species